AUUGAACGCUGGCGGCAGGCCUAACACAUGCAAGUCGAGCGGAUGAAGGGAGCUUGCUCCUGGAUUCAGCGGCGGACGGGUGAGUAAUGCCUAGGAAUCUGCCUGGUAGUGGGGGAUAACGUCCGGAAACGGGCGCUAAUACCGCAUACGUCCUGAGGGAGAAAGUGGGGGAUCUUCGGACCUCACGCUAUCAGAUGAGCCUAGGUCGGAUUAGCUAGUUGGUGGGGUAAAGGCCUACCAAGGCGACGAUCCGUAACUGGUCUGAGAGGAUGAUCAGUCACACUGGAAGUGAGACACGGUCCAGACUCCUACGGGAGGCAGCAGUGGGGAAUAUUGGACAGUGGGCGAAAGCCUGAUCCAGCCAUGCCGCGUGUGUGAAGAAGGUCUUCGGAUUGUAAAGCACUUUAAGUUGGGAGGAAGGGCAGUAAGUUAAUACCUUGCUGUUUUGACGGUACCAACAGAAUAAGCACCGGCUAACUUCGUG
rnacentral:rRNA from 1 species